GCGCCCGUGGUGUAAGGCGUAGCAUCACUGCCGGAGAAGCAAAAGGUGCGGGCUCGAGUCCCGCCUGGCGCA
rfam:Heligmosomoides polygyrus genome assembly, scaffold: HPBE_scaffold0008869